rnacentral:rRNA from 1 species
UACGUAGGGGGCUAGCGUUGUCCGGAAUCAUUGGGCGUAAAGCGCGUGUAGGCGGCCCGGUAAGUCCGCUGUGAAAGUCGGGGGCUCAACCCUCGGAUGCCGAUCGAUACUGUCGGGCUAGAGUCCGGAAGAGGCGAGUGGAAUUCCUGGUGUAGCGGUGAAAUGCGCAGAUAUCGGGAGGAACACCUGUGGCGAAAGCGGCGCACUGGACCAUAACUGACGCUGAGGCGCGAAAGCUAGGGGAGCAAACAGG